AUUGAUACGACCGCAGGCGACAGGGGUCCCAGAUGGAAGUCGAGCGGAUGAAGGGAGCUUGCUCUCUGAUGGCGGACGGGUGAGUAAUGCCUAGGAAUCUGCCUGGGGGUGGGGGACAACGUUCCGAAAGGAGCGCUACAACCGCAUACGUCCUACGGGAGAAAGUGGGGGAUCUUCGGACCUCACGCUAUCAGAUGAGCCUAGGUCGGAUUAGCUAGUAGGUUUGGUAAUGGCUCACCUAGGCGACGAUCCGUAAAUGGUCUGAGAGGAUGAACAGUCACACUGGAACUGAGACACGGUCCAGACUCCUACGGGAGGCAGCAGUGGGGAAUAUUGGACAAUGGGCGAAAGCCUGAUCCAGAAAUGCCGCGUGUGUGAAGAAGGGCUUCGGAUUUUAAAGCACUUAAAGUUGGGAGGACACCCAGUAAGUUAAUACCUUGCUGUUUUGACGUUACCAACAGAAUAAGCACCGGCUAACUUCGUGCCAGCAGCCGCGGAAAUACGAAGGUUGCAAGCUUUAAUCGGAAUUACUGGGCGUAAGGCGCGCGUAGGUGGUUUCCGAAGAUGGAUGUGAAAUCCCCGGGCUCAACCUGGGAACUGCAUCCAUAACUGCCUGACUAGAGUACGGAAAAGGGUGGUGGAAUUUCCUGUGUAGCGGUGAAAUGCGUAGAUAUAGGAAGGAACACCAGUGGCGAAGGCAACCACCUGGACUGAUACUGACACUGAGGUGCGAAAGCGUGGGGAGCAAACAGGAUUAGAUACCCUGGUAGUCCACGCCGUAAACGAUGUCGACUAGCCGUUGGGAUCCUUGAGAUCUUAGUGGCGCAGCUAACGCGAUAAGUCGACCGCGGGGGGAGUACCCCCGCAAGGUUAAAACUCAAAUGAAUUGACGGGGGCCCGCACAAGCAAAGGAGCAUGUGGUUUAAUUCGAAGCAACGCGAAGAACCUUACCUGGCCUUGACAUGUCCGGAAUCCUGCAGAGAUCCGGGAGUGCUUUCGGGAUUCGGAACACAGGUGCUGCAUGGCUGUCCUCAGCUCGUGUCGUGCAUUAUUGGGUUGGGUCCCGUAACGAGCGCAACCCUUGUCCUUAGUUACCAGCACGUUAUGGUGGGCACGGUAGCCAGACUGCCGGUAGUAAACCGGAACAAGGUGGGGAUGACGUCAAGUCAUCAAUGCCCUUACGGCCAAAACUGCUCACGUGCUACAAUGAUCGGUACAGAGGGUUGCCAAGCCGCGAGGUGGAGCUAAUCCCAGAAAUUUGAUCGUAGUCCGGAUCGCAGUCUGCAACUCGACUGCGUGAAGUCGGAAUCGCUAGUAAUCGUGAAUCCGAGUGUCAAGGUGAAUACGUUUCCGGGCCUUGUACACACCGCCCGCAACACCAUGGGAGUGGGUUGCAACAGGGAGUAACGAUAGUCUAACAAGACAGAUCAGAUAAGGGGGACGGUUCCCACGGAGUGAUUCAUGACUGGGGUGAAG
rnacentral:rRNA from 1 species